rnacentral:lncRNA from 1 species
GCAAAGUCUGGGGCCAUUCCGAGUCCGGCGGACGAACUUCGCCCACGCCCCCCACCAAGGCUAUAGCCCACCCGUUUUUUGGCCAUUUUUCCGCUGGGGAGUCUUGGCGCCCCGACCUUCGGGGGCUGAAUUUUGGGCGCGGGUGUGCCCGUGGCCUAUUUUUGGCACACGGAGGCCGCCCGCAAAGUCUGGGGCCAUUCCGAGUCCGGCGGACGAACUUCGCCCACGCCCCCCACCAAGGCUAUAGCCCACCCGUUUUUUGGCCAUUUUUCCGCUGGGGGGUCUUGGCGCCCCGACCUUCGGGGGCUGAAUUUUGGGCGCGGGUGUGCCCGUGGCCUAUUUUUGGCACACGGAGGCCGCCCGCAAAGUCUGGGGCCAUUCCGAGUCCGGCGGACGAACUUCGCCCACGUCCCCCACCAAGGCUAUAGCCCACCCAUUUUUUGGCCAUUUUUCCGCUGGGGGGUCUUGGCGCCCCGACCUUCGGGGGCUGAAUUUUGGGCGCGGGUGUGCCCGUGGCCUAUUUUUGGCACACGGAGGCCGCCCGCAAAGUCUGGGGCCAUUCCGAGUCCGGCGGACGAACUUCGCCCACGUCCCCCACCAAGGCUAUAGCCCACCCAUUUUUUGGCCAUUUUUCCGCUGGGGGGUCUUGGCGCCCCGACCUUCGGGGGCUGAAUUUUGGGCGCGGGUGUGCCCGUGGCCUAUUUUUGGCACACGGAGGCCGCCCGCAAAGUCUGGGGCCAUUCCUAGUCCGGCGGACGAACUUCGCCCACGCCCCCUACCAAGGCUAUAGCCCACCCGUUUUUUGGCCAUUUUUCCGCUGGGGGGUCUUGGCGCCCCGACCUUCGGGGGCUGAAUUUUGGGCGCGGGUGUGCCCGUGGCCUAUUUUUGGCACACGGAGGCCGCCCGCAAAGUCUGGGGCCAUUCCGAGUCCGGCGGACGAGCUUCGCCCACGCCCCCCACCAAGGCUAUAGCCCACCCGUUUUUUGGCCAUUUUUCCGCUGGGGGGUCUUGGCGCCCCGACCUUCGGGGGCUUAAUUUUGGGCGCGGGUGUGCCCGUGGCCUAUUGUUGGCACACGGAGGCCGCCCGCAAAGUCUGGGGCCAUUCCGAGUCCGGCGGACGAACUUCGCCCACGUCCCCCACCAAGGCUAUAGCCCACCCAUUUUUUGGCCAUUUUUCCGCUGGGGGGUCUUGGCGCCCCGACCUUCGGGGGCUGAUUUUUGGGCGCGGGUGUGCCCGUGGCCUAUUUUUGGCACACGGAGGCCGCCCGCAAAGUCUGGGGCCAUUCCGAGUCCGGCGGACGAACUUCGCCCACGCCCCCCACCAAGGCUAUAGCCCACCCGUUUUUUGGCCAUUUUUCCGCUGGGGGGUCUUGGCGCCCCGACCUUCGGGGGCUGAUUUUUGGGCGCGGGUGUGCCCGUGGCCUAUUUUUGGCACACGGAGGCCGCCCGCAAAGUCUGGGGCCAUUCCGAGUCCGGCGGACGAGCUUCGCCCACGCCCCCCACCAAGGCUAUAGCCCACCCGUUUUUUGGCCAUUUUUCCGCUGGGGGGUCUUGGCGCCCCGACCUUCGGGGGCUGAUUUUUGGGCGCGGGUGUGCCCGUGGCCUAUUUUUUGCACACGGAGGCCGCCCGCAAAGUCUGGGGCCAUUCCGAGUCCGGCGGACGAACUUCGCCCACGCCCCCCACCAAGGCUAUAGCCCACCCGUUUUUUGGCCAUUUUUCCGCUGGGGGGUCUUGGCUCCCCGACCUUCGGGGGCUGAUUUUUGGGCGCGGGUGUGCCCGUGGCCUAUUUUUGGCACACGGAGGCCGCCCGCAAAGUCUGGGGCCAUUCCGAGUCCGGCGGACGAACUUCGCCCACGCCCCCCACCAAGGCUAUAGCCCACCCGUUUUUUGGCCAUUUUUCCGCUGGGGGGUCUUGGCGCCCCGACCUUCGGGGGCUGAAUUUUGGGCGCGGGUGUGCCCGUGGCCUAUUUUUGGCACACGGAGGCCGCCCGCAAAGUCUGGGGCCAUUCCGAGUCCGGCGGACGAACUUCGCCCACGCCCCCCACCAAGGCUAUAGCCCACCCGUUUUUUGGCCAUUUUUCCGCUGGGGGGUCUUGGCGCCCCGACCUUCGGGGGCUGAAUUUUGGGCGCGGGUGUUGCCCGUGGCCUAUUUUUGGCACACGGAGGCCGCCCGCAAAGUCUGGGGCCAUUCCGAGUCCGGCGGACGAACUUCGCCCACGCCCCCCACCAAGGCUAUAGCCCACCCGUUUUUUGGCCAUUUUUCCGCUGGGGGGUCUUGGCGCCCCGACCUUCGGGGGCUGAUUUUUGGGCGCGGGUGUGCCCGUGGCCUAUUUUUGGCACACGGAGGCCGCCCGCAAAGUCUGGGGCCAUUCCGAGUCCGGCGGACGAACUUCGCCCACGCCCCCCAUCAAGGCUAUAGCCCGCCCACCCGUUUUUUGGCCAUUUUUCCGCUGGGGGGUCUUGGCGCCCCGACCUUCGGGGGCUGAUUUUUGGGCGCGGGUGUGCCCGUGGCCUAUUUAUGGCACACGGAGGCCGCCCGCAAAGGCUGGGGCCAUUCCGAGUCCGGCGGACGAGCUUCGCCCACGCCCCCCACCAAGGCUAUAGCCCACCCUUUUUUUGGCCAUUUUUCCGCUGGGGGGUCUUGGCGCCCCGACCUUCGGGGGCUGAUUUUUGGGCGCGGGUGUGCCCGUGGCCUAUUUUUUGCACACGGAGGCCGCCCGCAAAGUCUGGGGACAUUCCGAGUCCGGCGGACGAACUUCGCCCACGCCCCCCACCAAGGCUAUAGCCCACCCGUUUUUUGGCCAUUUUUCCGCUGGGGGGUCUUGGCUCCCCGACCUUCGGGGGCUGAUUUUUGGGCGCGGGUGUGCCCGUGGCCUAUUUUUGGCACACGGAGGCCGCCCGCAAAGUCUGGGGCCAUUCCGAGUCCGGCGGACGAGCUUCGCCCACGCCCCCCACCAAGGCUAUAGCCCACCCGUUUUUUGGCCAUUUUUCCGCUGGGGGGUCUUGGCGCCCCGACCUUCGGGGGCUGAAUUUUGGGCGCGGGUGUGCCCGUGGCCUAUUUUUGGCACACGGAGGCCGCCCGCAAAGUCUGGGGCCAUUCCGAGUCCGGCGGACGAACCUCGCCCACGCCCCCCACCAAGGCUAUAGCCCACCCGUUUUUUGGCCAUUUUUCCGCUGGGGGGUCUUGGCGCCCCGACCUUCGGGGGCUGAUUUUUGGGCGCGGGUGUGCCCGUGGCCUAUUUUUGGCACACGGAGGCCGCCCGCAAAGUCUGGGGCCAUUCCGAGUCCGGCGGACGAACUUCGCCCACGCCCCCCACCAAGGCUAUAGCCCACCCGUUUUUUGGCCAUUUUUCCGCUGGGUGGUCUUGGCGCCCCGACCUUCGGGGGCUGAAUUUUGGGCGCGGGUGUGCCCGUGGCCUAUUUUUGGCACACGGAGGCCGCCCGCAAAGUCUGGGGCCAUUCCGAGUCCGGCGGACGAACUUCGCCCACGCCCCCCACCAAGGCUAUAGCCCACCCGUUUUUUGGCCAUUUUUCCGCUGGGGGGUCUUGGUGCCCCGACCUUCAGGGGCUGAAUUUUGGGCGCGGGUUUGCCCGUGGCCUAUUUUUGGCACACGGAGGCCGCCCGCAAAGUCUGGGGCCAUUCCGAGUCCGGCGGACGAACUUCGCCCACGCCCCCCACCAAGGCUAUAGCCCACCCGUUUUUUGGCCAUUUUUCCGCUGGGGGGUCUUGGCGCCCCGACCUUCGGGGGCUGAAUUUUGGGCGCGGGUGUGCCCGUGGCCUAUUUUUGGCACACGGAGGCCGCCCGCAAAGUCUGGGGCCAUUCCGAGUCCGGCGGACGAACUUCGCCCACGCCCCCCACCAAGGCUAUAGCCCACCCGUUUUUUGGCCAUUUUUCCGCUGGGGGGUCUUGGCGCCCCGAC